GAGCGCGUAGCUCAGUUGGUAGAGCAACUGACUUUUAAUCAGUAGGUCCAGGGUUCGAAUCCCUGCGCGCUCA
rnacentral:tRNA from 4 species